UACGUAGGGUGCAAGCGUUAAUCGGAAUUACUGGGCGUAAAGCGUGCGCAGGCGGUUAUGUAAGACAGAUGUGAAAUGCCCGGGCUUAACCUGGGAACUGCAUUUGUGACUGCAUGGCUAGAGUGUGUCAGAGGGGGGUAGAAUUCCACGUGUAGCAGUGAAAUGCGUAGAUAUGUGGAGGAAUACCGAUGGCGAAGGCAGCCCCCUGGGAUAACACUGACGCUCAUGCAACCGAAAGCGUGGGGAGCAAACAGG
rnacentral:rRNA from 1 species